GGCAUUUGGACAGGAAAUCUUGUGCUUCAGCAUGCCUCCCAGCCUUGAAAAAGGCCUUGAAUAAACGAAGAACCACUGAUGUAGAUGGAAACUUUUUGGAAGUCAUAGACUUCAUAAAAGCUACAGCAUCAUCACCUGUUCCAGACUUCGUCACAUGCUUAAUAAAUGGAUCCACAAAGGGAGGAAAACCAUGAUUUUUCAUCAAAUCCAACAGAUUCAAGGCAUCUGCAAAUCCAUCCUGAACCAAUAAUUUAUUUAUCAAUCCUUUGUAGGUGGUAUGCCGAGGCGCUAACUGAUUAUGAAAAACGUAGCCAUGCAGAAGCUUGCAUGCAUCUAUAGCUCUGUUCUUGUAACAAUAAGCAUUUACCAAAGAUUCAAAGGCAUAAAUAGCAUUAGAAACUCCCUCCUUUUCAAUCAGUUUUUGGAAACAAUCAGAUGCAUUCUCAAGAUCCCCAGAUGCACAAUGCCCUUCAAUUAAAGAUGUCCAUGCCUUGUAAUCCAAAUUACUCCCAGAUGCUUCCAUAUGAUCCACAAAUUCACUCACUUUAUCCUUGUUCCCAGCACAACUAAGCCUGAAGACAAUCUUUCUCUGUAGAUUACCACUAGCUACAAACCCACCUUCCUUCAUUUCUUU
rnacentral:misc_RNA from 1 species